UCUUCCUUUUCAUAUAUGUCUUUGAUUCAUAAAAGCCAAAAUUGAAAUGAUGUAGUAUAUUGAAUUGAUGAAACUACUUGGGAAUCAGUUGGCAACUUUGAUCAAUGACCUUGUAAAUCAGCUUUGUUAUGGUUACAUUUUCAAACUAAAGUCUCUAGUAGUAAGUUAAUUAGAUAUGGUGUAACCUUAAUUUUCAACAACUGAAAGUAUUAACUUUGGGUAAAUUGUUCUUAAACUUAUUUUGGUUUAAUGACUAAGAUAAGAUAGUUCAAGAAGUUAGUAAUCUAUAAUCUGCAUAUUCAAGUUAAUUACUCUUGUUUGAAAAAAAAUCUAUUUGGAUGAUUCUUCAAGUACUUUUAAAUUAAAACAGAAUCUAGUUAGAUUUCUGAUUAAACUAAUUAUUUUGGAGAGUUAUAAUGUGAGAUUGAUAGUAUGAGUUGGAUUAUUAGAAGGUUGGUAUCAUUUAGGAAAUCAUCAUUAGCUCAUAAGGUUUAAGAUUGAUUAUUAUCUAUUUGAAGAAUGGUUGUUGAUUAUGUUAUUGUGUUGGGUGAAUUAUGUUGGAGUUCGAGUUGGAGUUGAAGAUCAAGAUUUUCAUAAAUGUUCAUGGAGAUUGCAUAUAAUUGUUCUUGAGUUUGAGGUGUAUGUUUGGAUUUCUGGAAGAAUCAAGAGAAAGAGUUUUCUGUUAAGAGAUGGAAAUUAAAUUAGAGAUUUGAAGUUAUAUUUAGAAUAUAAUUGUUGAAUGUUAAGUUCUCAUUUGAUAUUAAGUAUUGUAUUGUUUUGGGAUUUCGAGUAAAGUAAUAUAUAAUCAGGUAUUGGCUUUGAAGUUAUUUUGUCAUGGCCCUGACCCACAGGUCCAGGAUCGGUUUAAGGUUUAUGUUUCCGCUGCGAGUAAAUAGUUAAUUCGAGGUUAUUAAGUGUUAAUUGAGUUUCAUGAAUGUUAAGUAUGUUUAGCUAGCAGCUCGGAAGUGCGGGCUGUUACAGGUGGUAUCAGAGCAUGGUUCUGAUUUAUAUUUUAAGCUUAGGAAUUAAAAGAGAAAGAAAAAAAAAAUCUCAUCCUUAUACUUCUCACUCUUCCUCGUGUCAACUGUUGUCAACAGACAACACAUUCUAAUCUUCAUUCAUUGUGUCAAAAGGAGAAGAGCUUUCAAAUUGAGUUGUCAAAAUUUCAUGGAAUCUCCACCAUUGAGAUGUAAUCUCCAUAAUUUUUUCUGAUUUUGGGCAAAUCUAAAAACCCCAAUUCUUCAUUCUCGCAUCUUCUCUGUUUUCGUCAGUCUGUUCUGCAAUUUUCUCCAACAUGCAACCCAAAUUUGCUCCUUGUUUCUUCAUCAAAGUUGUAGAUCUCUUCGAGCUAAUGAAUUUAGGCUCAAAAAUUUCUUCAAUCGGAGUUCGUAGCUAGGAGUUAUGAUCUCUGGAAUUUGUAGUUGUUGCUGCCACUGUUGCAGCGUUUUUCUCUCUCCUCUGUUUCGGUAUGGUGCUGCCGCCACUGUUCCGUGGUCUGUUGCUGUGCUGUACGGUCUUGUCAAGGGUUGUGCCGCCGUGAUUUAUGGUGGUGCGGUACUGUUUCCGUGAUUGUCACAAACUAAUUGAUUUUUUCUUCUUGAAUCGUUACCUUAGUGUGUUCGAGUUGGAGUUGAAGAUCAAGAUUUUCAUAAAUGUUCAUGGAGAUUGCAUAUAAUUGUUCUUAAGUUUGAGGUAACCUUUAUGUUCAGCAAAAUGAAUUUACAUGCCCAUGUUGUAUUGUGUUUUCAAUAUCAUACAUUGCUUAUAGUCAUGGCCAUGGUUAUAGAUGCAUAUUAAUAAGUUAAUUGUGAAUUGAUAUUUGAUGGUUAUGAAAGAUUAAUACUUUGUUAUAUUAUUGGAAUUGUUCGGAAAACUAUAAAGUAUUCUAGAAAUGUGAAUUGAGUAUGAUAAUGAGGAUACGAUUUCGAAAUGGUUUUAGCUGGCUUAGUUUAUGAACUGAGAUGAAUAGUGGGCAAGGUACAGGUGGAGUAAAAUGAUUCGUAUAUGAGUUAAGACCAGAUAAGGUCGAAUAUUAUGUUAAGUUAUGUUAUAAGCCUGUACUUGCCAGCGAUUUAUGUAAUGUGAUUAAGCUAUGCCAGCGAUACAUUAAAAGAUGAAUUAUUUCCGAACAAUUACCAAGUUAUUUCUGAUAUGAAAAAUGUUUACGAACCAAAAUUGUUUUGACGGGCUGAAGUAAAGUUACUGAGUUUUUCGCUCAUUUUAGUUUUGUUUUUGUUUUGUAUUUUCGUCUGUAAUUUGCAGGUGUAUGAUUGGAUUUC